UACCCGAUAGUGUAACGGUUAGCACUAGAGAUUUUGAUUCUCUCAGUCGAGGUUCGAAUCCUCGUCGGGUAA
rnacentral:tRNA from 1 species